rnacentral:rRNA from 1 species
AGAGUUUGAUCCUGGCUCAGAUUGAACGCUGGCGGCAGGCCUAACACAUGCAAGUCGAGCGGAUGAAGGGAGCUUGCUCCUGGAUUCAGCGGCGGACGGGUGAGUAAUGCCUAGGAAUCUGCCUGGUAGUGGGGGAUAACGUCCGGAAACGGGCGCUAAUACCGCAUACGUCCUGAGGGAGAAAGUGGGGGAUCUUCGGACCUCACGCUAUCAGAUGAGCCUAGGUCGGAUUAGCUAGUUGGUGGGGUAAAGGCCUACCAAGGCGACGAUCCGUAACUGGUCUGAGAGGAUGAUCAGUCACACUGGAACUGAGACACGGUCCAGACUCCUACGGGAGGCAGCAGUGGGGAAUAUUGGACAAUGGGCGAAAGCCUGAUCCAGCCAUGCCGCGUGUGUGAAGAAGGUCUUCGGAUUGUAAAGCACUUUAAGUUGGGAGGAAGGGCAGUAAGUUAAUACCUUGCUGUUUUGACGUUACCAACAGAAUAAGCACCGGCUAACUUCGUGCCAGCAGCCGCGGUAAUACGAAGGGUGCAAGCGUUAAUCGGAAUUACUGGGCGUAAAGCGCGCGUAGGUGGUUCAGCAAGUUGGAUGUGAAAUCCCCGGGCUCAACCUGGGAACUGCAUCCAAAACUACUGAGCUAGAGUACGGUAGAGGGUGGUGGAAUUUCCUGUGUAGCGGUGAAAUGCGUAGAUAUAGGAAGGAACACCAGUGGCGAAGGCGACCACCUGGACUGAUACUGACACUGAGGUGCGAAAGCGUGGGGAGCAAACAGGAUUAGAUACCUGGUAGUCCACGCCGUAAACGAUGUCGACUAGCCGUUGGGAUCCUUGAGAUCUUAGUGGCGCAGCUAACGCGAUAAGUCGACCGCCUGGGGAGUACGGCCGCAAGGUUAAAACUCAAAUGAAUUGACGGGGGCCCGCACAAGCGGUGGAGCAUGUGGUUUAAUUCGAAGCAACGCGAAGAACCUUACCUGGCCUUGACAUGCUGAGAACUUUCCAGAGAUGGAUUGGUGCCUUCGGGAACUCAGACACAGGUGCUGCAUGGCUGUCGUCAGCUCGUGUCGUGAGAUGUUGGGUUAAGUCCCGUAACGAGCGCAACCCUUGUCCUUAGUUACCAGCACCUCGGGUGGGCACUCUAAGGAGACUGCCGGUGACAAACCGGAGGAAGGUGGGGAUGACGUCAGGUCAUCAUGGCCCUUACGGCCAGGGCUACACACGUGCUACAAUGGUCGGUACAAAGGGUUGCCAAGCCGCGAGGUGGAGCUAAUCCCAUAAAACCGAUCGUAGUCCGGAUCGCAGUCUGCAACUCGACUGCGUGAAGUCGGAAUCGCUAGUAAUCGUGAAUCAGAAUGUCACGGUGAAUACGUUCCCGGGCCUUGUACACACCGCCCGUCACACCAUGGGAGUGGGUUGCUCCAGAAGUAGCUAGUCUAACCGCAAGGGGGACGGUUACCACGGAGUGAUUCAUGACUGGGGUGAAGUCGUAACAAGGUAGCCGUAGGGGAACCUGCGGCUGGAUCACCUCCUU